rnacentral:rRNA from 1 species
AGCGAACAUUGGCGGUAGGCUUAACACAUGCAAGUCGAGCGAGGCGUAAUAGUCGAGCGGCGAACGGGUGAGUAAUACAUGGGAAUCUACCUUGGAGUGGGGAUAACAGCCAGAAAUGGCUGCUAAUACCGCAUAAUCCCGAGAGGGGAAAGCGCGCUGCGCUCCAAGAUGAGCCCAUGGCUGAUUAGCUAGUUGGUGGGGUAAAGGCCUACCAAGGCGACGAUCAGUAGCUGGUCUGAGAGGAUGAUCAGCCACACUGGAACUGAGACACGGUCCAGACUCCUACGGGAGGCAGCAGUGGGGAAUCUUGCGCAAUGGGGGCAACCCUGACGCAGCCAUACCGCGUGUGCGAUGAAGGUCUUCGGAUUGUAAAGCACUUUCAGUAGGGACGACGAUGACGGUACCUACAGAAGAAGUCACGGCUAACUUCGUGCCAGCCGCCGCGGUAA